rnacentral:tRNA from 1 species
UCCCCAGUAGCUCAGUUGGCAGAGCAGAUGGCUGUUAACCAUCUUGUCCGCGGUUCGAGUCCGUGCUGGGGAGCCA